UUUCUUCUUUCUCUCGACAAUAUCCAAAAUGAGAGAAACACAAAAUCACACAAUAGCUCUCGCAUCGUCGUCUUCUUCUCCCGAUCGAUUCGAUCUCGCCUCGUCGUCGUCUUCUAAACCGAUCUCGCCUCGUCGUCUUCUAAAUCGAUUCGAUGCAAGUCUUCGAUUGGGUUUGUGAUUUGGUUUCUCGAUCGGGUUGUAUCGUUUGUGUUUGGGACGAACCGUCGAACAAAAUCGAGCGACGUUUGUGUUCGAUUGGGUUUGCGUUUGUGUUUCUCGAUCGGAUCUUACAACCGAUUGAAUCGGUGGUUUUGAUUGAUGUAUGUUGUGUUUUGUGUUGUGCAGGUGGGUUCGUAGUUUGUUGGGCAGUAUUAUAAAGUGUUGCAGCAGCAGCCAGAUCUUAUUCAUCAGUUUUAUUCUGAGUCCAGUAGAGCUAUUCGUAUCGUUAAUCUAGUUCACAAGUUUCAAUCUUUUUUACUUGAGUUCUGUGAGGUUUUAUGAGGUGAUUGACUUGGUGUUUAAGAUUAAGCAUAUGAGAAGAUAUGAGUUCACAAACUUCUUCAGCCCAGAAUAUAUGUGAAUCCCCCUGCUACCCCAGAUUGUCUACGAGCACUGGCUUGCAGGAUAGUGACAAAUUCAGGGCAUGCGACUACACUAACAGCCAGUGAUGCUGCUACUCCAACACUGAGGCGUAUUGAAAGAGCUUCCAUUGCAGCAGCAACGCCUAUCUGCAAAGAAGAAGCAGUUGACUUUCUCCCCUAGCUUUAGUUUGCAGUCACGAAAGCAAUAUUUCUCCCAUGACGCGCUCAACCUCAGUCUACACAGAGAAUAAAUAGUACAAAUAUUGAUGAUGAUGAGGCACUGAAGAGAGCACCAAUAUUGCCUCAUUGUGACAUCGACAAAGAAGCUCCAGAUUCUUGUUUGUUCCCUAGAUCCUCGAUCAUACUGCUAGGCGGCUCUCUUAUAUCACAUUGUUCUGAGUUUGUCAGCGGCUCAGGCUCAGGGCACCAGUGUUAACAAUCGUUGCUGUGGAGGAACUAUGGUCAAUGUCUGAAAUUAUACAAUGGUUUGAAUUGUUGAAACUGGUUUUGGUUUUUGAUUGUUGUGCAAUGAGAGGAUGUUUGAGAGUUAGAUGGAAAAUGGUUUUGGUUUGUUUGAUUGUUGUUUGUAAAACAAGUUCUCUGAUUUUUUUAAAAAAAAUUGACACCCAA